AGUUUGAUCCUGGCUCAGAUUGAACGCUGGCGGCAUGCCUUACACAUGCAAGUCGAACGGCAGCACGGGUGCUUGCACCUGGUGGCGAGUGGCGAACGGGUGAGUAAUACAUCGGAACAUGUCCUGUAGUGGGGGAUAGCCCGGCGAAAGCCGGAUUAAUACCGCAUACGAUCUACGGAUGAAAGCGGGGGACCUUCGGGCCUCGCGCUAUAGGGUUGGCCGAUGGCUGAUUAGCUAGUUGGUGGGGUAAAGGCCUACCAAGGCGACGAUCAGUAGCUGGUCUGAGAGGACGACCAGCCACACUGGGACUGAGACACGGCCCAGACUCCUACGGGAGGCAGCAGUGGGGAAUUUUGGACAAUGGGCGAAAGCCUGAUCCAGCCAUCCCGCGUGUGCGAUGAAGGCCUUCGGGUUGUAAAGCACUUUUGGCAGGAAAGAAACGUCGCGGGUUAAUACCCCGCGAAACUGACGGUACCUGCAGAAUAAGCACCGGCUAACUACGUGCCAGCAGCCGCGGUAAUACGUAGGGUGCAAGCGUUAAUCGGAAUUACUGGGCGUAAAGCGUGCGCAGGCGGUACGGAAAGAAAGAUGUGAAAUCCCAGAGCUUAACUUUGGAACUGCAUUUUUAACUACCGGGCUAGAGUGUGUCAGAGGGAGGUGGAAUUCCGCGUGUAGCAGUGAAAUGCGUAGAUAUGCGGAGGAACACCGAUGGCGAAGGCA
rnacentral:rRNA from 2 species